AGAGUUUGAUCAUGGCUCAGAACGAACGCUGGCGGAAUGCUUUACACAUGCAAGUCGAACGAGUACUUUUUACGAGUGGCGAACGGGUGAGUAACGCGUGGGAACCUACCUUGAGGUAAAGAAUAACUACAGGAAACUGUAGCUAAUACUUUAUGUGCCCUACGGGGGAAAGAUUUAUCGCCUUUUGAGGGGCCCGCGUCAGAUUAGCUUGUUGGUGAGGUAAUGGCUUACCAAGGCAUUGAUCUGUAGCUGGUUUGAGAGGAUGAUCAGCCACAUUGGGACUGAGACACGGCCCUGACUCCUACGGGAGGCAGCAGUGGGGAAUCUUGGACAAUGGGGGAAACCCUGAUCCAGCAAUUCCGCGUGAAUGAUGAAGGCCUUAGGGUUGUAAAGUUCUUUUAGUAAGGAAGAUGAUGACGGUACUUACAGAAAAAGCUCCGGCUAACUCCGUGCCAGCAGCCGCGGUAAUACGGAGGGGGCAAGCGUUGUUCGGAAUUACUGGGCGUAAAGAGCGAGCAGGUGGUUCAUUAAGUCAAUUGUGAAAGCUCAAGGCUUAACCUUGAAAUUGCUUUUGAUACUGAUGAACUAGAGUUUGGGAGAGGAUAGUGGAAUUCUAAGUGUAGAAGUGAAAUUCGUAGAUAUUUAGAGGAACACCGAUAGCGAAGGCAACUAUCUGGCCCUUUACUGACACUCAGAAGCGAAAGCUUGGGUAGCAAACAGGAUUAGAUACCCUGGUAGUCCAUGCUGUAAACG
rnacentral:rRNA from 1 species